CCUACGGGUGGCUGCAGUGAGGAAUAUUGGUCAAUGGCCGUAAGGCUGAACCAGCCAAGUCGCGUGAAGGAAGAAGGAUCUAUGGUUUGUACACUUCUUUUAAAGGGGAAUAAAGGUAUCCACGUGUGGAGAUUUGCAUGUACCCUAUAAAUAAGCAUCGGCUAACUCCGUGCCAGCAGCCGCGGUAAGACGGAGGAUGCGGGCGUUAUCCGGAUUUAUUGGGUUUAUAGGGUGCGUAGGUUGUUUUUUAAUUCAGCGGUGAAAGUUGGUGGCUCAAACAUAAAAUUGCCGUUGAAUCUGGAAGACUUGAGUGUGUUUGAGGUAGGCGGAAUGCGUGGUGUCGCGGUGAAAUGCAUAGAUAUCACGCAGAACUCCGAUUGCGAAGGCAGCUUACUAAGCCAUAACUGACACUGAAGCUCGAAAGCGUGGGGAGCAAACAGGAUUAGAUACCCGUGUAGUC
rnacentral:rRNA from 1 species